ACUUAGAAAAAUAGAUCCACUCGCUUCAGACAACCUCAGGAUCUCCAAACUGAAGACACAAGUGACAUGACCGAAACAGGGUCCCCUCAAUAAGAUUUCCCAGAUACUGAGGACCUCAGUCUCCUCACCACCACGAUUCCUGCACACCGAUGCAUUCCUUUAAAAGGAAAGCAGCUGGAACAUUAAUGGCAAUUCCACUUUCCCAUUCAUCGCCCCCGCCCCCACCACCCCACCAAGAAACUCAGUGGGAAUGAAUGGUCUACACAGAGAAACUGAAAUCUGGUUAGUCAAGAAGGAAAAAACAACCAAGUGCCUGGCAUUAAGAGGAUUUUUUUUUUAAGCUCAGCCUAUGGACAACAAAAGCAUGGACUGUAUUUCUCAGCAUCUUUUGCACUUGAACAAGAUUAUUUUUUCCUUGAAAAUUGACAUGGAUGGUCUGCCACUGUGGGCUUUAUCUUCAACAUCGUCUCACCCUUCUUAUUAAUAACACAAGUUAUCCACUUGUAAACUGCUGUUUUUUUGGGGCUAUCCACUUGUAAACUGCUGUUUUUUUGGGGGCACUGUCACCAUAAACUUUUGAUAAGGCAUCAGUGAUUUCAACAUUCUUCACCCAAGCUUCACCAUAAAUUUGAUGUUUCUUUUUGCUUCAUUUUAGCAGAAUUUGUUCCAAUAGGGGCUCUUUUCGAACUGAUUUUUUUUUUCAUUUUUUUCCACUGGGAUUUUGAGAAAAUCAAACUGAUAGCCUUCUUAGUGCCUCAAACUAGAUCCUGUUCAGACACAAACAAGUUAGUAUGAGUUUGUUUCAGUGAAAAAAAAAUUUGAAAUUCAUGCAUAGUUUUUCAUAAUGUGAAUUUUUCAUGAACUUUUGGAAGACCUUUUGAAUACUUUUUUAAUUGCAGCACUCUUUUGCACCAUAAAACUAAUUGGUGGCUUUACCAUUAAGAAGUUGAGCCAAGCAAACAAUAAUGAAAAUGCUUUAUGUGGAAUAAAAAUUUACACUUAAAUGCCUUUUUUGCUUCCUUUUUCUCCGUUUAUAUUUAAUCUAUUUAAUCUAUAUUUAAUUUAAUAUAUUUAAUCUGUAAUAAGCCCACAGGAGCACUUCUUUGUACUUUUUACAUCAAUGAAGUACAUAUAUGUUUUCUUUGC
rnacentral:lncRNA from 1 species